GACGAACGCUGGCGGCGUGCUUAACACAUGCAAGUCGAACGGAAAGGCCCUGCUUUUGUGGGGUGCUCGAGUGGCGAACGGGUGAGUAACACGUGAGUAACCUGCCCUUGACUUUGGGAUAACUUCAGGAAACUGGGGCUAAUACCGGAUAGGAGCUCCUGCUGCAUGGUGGGGGUUGGAAAGUGUCGGCGGUUGGGGAUGGACUCGCGGCUUAUCAGCUUGUUGGUGGGGUAGUGGCUUACCAAGGCUUUGACGGGUAGCCGGCCUGAGAGGGUGACCGGCCACAUUGGGACUGAGAUACGGCCCAGACUCCUACGGGAGGCAGCAGUGGGGAAUAUUGCACAAUGGGCGGACGCCUGAUGCAGCAACGCCGCGUGCGGGAUGACGGCCUUCGGGUUGUAAACCGCUUUCGCCUGUGACGAAGCGUGAGUGACGGUAAUGGGUAAAGAAGCACCGGCUAACUACGUG
rnacentral:rRNA from 1 species